AUACUUACCUGGUAGGAGAAAUGCCAUGAUCACGAGGGUGGUUUUCCCAGGGCGAGGCUUAACCAUUGCACUCCGGAUGUGCUGACUCCUGCGAUUUCCCCAAAUGUGGGAAACUCGACUGCAUAAUUUGUGGUAGUGAGGGACUGCGUUCGCGCUUUCCCCUG
ensembl:snRNA U1 U1 spliceosomal RNA